rnacentral:rRNA from 1 species
GAAGCUGGAGUUACUAGUAAUCGCAGAUCAGAAUGCUGCGGUGAAUGCGUUCCCGGGUCUUGUACACACCGCCCGUCACACCACGGAAGUUGGGGCGCCCGAAGCCACUUAGCUAACCCUUUUGGGAAGCGAGUGUCGAAGGUGAAAUCAAUAACUGGGGUGAAGUCGUAACAAGGUACC